UACAACUUUUAUCAACGCAUCUCUUGCCUCUCCCAUCUCUGAAGAACGCAGCUGAAUGCGCGACGUUACGCGAAUUGCGCAAUUCAGUGAAUCAUCUAAUCUUUGAACGCACCUUGCGCCCUCUGGUAUUCCGGAGGGCAUGCCUGUUUGAGUG
rnacentral:rRNA from 1 species